GACGAACGCUGGCGGCGUGCCUAAUACAUGCAAGUAGAACGCUGAAGAGAGGAGCUUGCUCUUCUUGGAUGAGUUGCGAACGGGUGAGUAACGCGUAGGUAACCUGCCUGGUAGCGGGGGAUAACUAUUGGAAACGAUAGCUAAUACCGCAUAAAAUGGAUUAUCGCAUGAUAAUCCAUUGAAAGGUGCAAAUGCAUCACUACCAGAUGGACCUGCGUUGUAUUAGCUAGUUGGUGGGGUAACGGCUCACCAAGGCGACGAUACAUAGCCGACCUGAGAGGGUGAUCGGCCACACUGGGACUGAGACACGGCCCAGACUCCUACGGGAGGCAGCAGUAGGGAAUCAUCGGCAAUGGACGGAAGUCUGACCGAGCAACGCCGCGUGAGUGAAGAAGGUUUUCGGAUCGUAAAGCUCUGUUGUAAGAGAAGAACGAGUGUGAGAGUGGAAAGUUCACACUGUGACGGUAUCUUACCAGAAAGGGACGGCUAACUACGUG
rnacentral:rRNA from 1 species